UGGCGGGCUAGUCCGGGUAGCUCGGCGUUACCUGUAACCUAAAAUCGCCGAUAUGUAGGGGACGAAGCCAAGGGAAGGUGCCUCAAUCAGGCACGGACCUGUGAACUCAACUGAGAAGCUCCGUCCUGCUUGGACGAUGUAGAUACAGGGGCUUGCUGGAGAGCAGGUCUCUGUGUCCUCACUGCGGGAACCGGUCAAGGCCCGGAAGGGAGCAGACCAACUGCGGGCAUACGUCGCUUGCAGGGUCACGGAGUGGAGACGAGAUCACAGAUCAUCCGUGUCUGUGCGAGACAUCGACCUGCGGCAUGCCUGCCG
rfam:Methanosalsum zhilinae DSM 4017, complete genome.